GAUGAAGAACGCAGCGAAAUGCGAUAAGUAAUGUGAAUUGCAGAACUCAGUGAAUCAUCGAAUCUUUGAACGCACAUUGCACCUCUCGGUAUUCCGGGAGGUAUGCCUGUUCGAGCGUCAUUUGUACCCUCAAGCUCUGCUUGGUGUUGGGUGUUUGUUCCGCCUCUGUGUGUGAACUCGCCUCAAAACAAUUGGCAGCCGGCGUACUUGUUUCGGAGCGCAGCACAUUUUGCGAUCCAGAUCAACGUACAGCGGCAUCCAAGAAGCCUUAUUUAACGCUCUUGACCUCGGAUCAGGUAGGGAUACCCGCUGAACUUAAGCAUAUCAAUAAGCGGAGGA
rnacentral:misc_RNA from 1 species